rnacentral:tRNA from 1 species
GCAGGUGUCGUUCAACGGCAGGAUGGUGGUCUCCAAAACCAUAGAUAAGGGUUCGACUCCCUUCACCUGUGCCA